GUGACACGGCCCAGAGGGGUCCGACACGCCGCUCAACGAGGGCCAGAAAGAGCGGGAGAGAAAAACCCUUCUUGCGCUCUGCAAAUAUGUGUUUGAGUUCAACUCGUCGCUGGAAACGACUUUCCGAGCAUGGGAACGAACCGUGGAAGCUCCAUCCGGUGUCCAUCGAGGCCGCGCCCGUCUUACUGGGCUUCUGAGAAAUUUCCGCGAGCAGCCGGCAGAGAAGGCGAUGGAAGGAGGAGGCGGUCCGCUGUAAUUGUGCGUUUGCGGAGGAGAACAGCUUUUCCCCCCACUGCAUCAAGGCAGUGAUGAAAGGC
rnacentral:lncRNA from 1 species